rnacentral:rRNA from 1 species
CCUACGGGAGGCAGCAGUGGGGAAUAUUGCGCAAUGGGCGAAAGCCUGACGCAGCGACGCCGCGUGAGGGAUGAAGGUCUUCGGAUCGUAAACCUCUGUCAGCAGGGAAGAACGGUCACUGUGCUAAUCAGCAGUGAAUUGACGGUACCUGCAAAGGAAGCACCGGCUAACGCCGUGCCAGUAGACGCGGUAAUACGGAGGGUGCGAGCGUUAAUCGGAAUUACGGGGCGUAAAGCGCUCGUAGGCGGGAUGUCAAGGCAAGGGUGAAAUCCCCGCGCUCAACGUGGGAACUGCCUUUGAAACUGGCAAACUGGAGUGUGUGAGAGGAGAGUGGAAUUCCAGGUGUAGGAGUGAAAUCCGUAGAUAUCUGGAGGAACAUCCGUGGCGAAGGCGACUAUCUGGCACAUAACUGACGCUGUGGAGCGAAAGCGUGGGUAGCAAACAGGACUAGAUACCCCAGUAGUC